CCUACGGGAGGCAGCAGUGAGGAAUAUUGGUCAAUGGCCGGAAGGCUGAACCAGCCAUGCCGCGUGAAGGUCAGUGCCCUAUGGGCGUUAAACUUCUUUUGUGCGGGAGCAAUAAUGGUCACGUGUGGCCAGACGAGAGUACCGUACGAAUAAGCAUCGGCUAACUCGGUGCCAGCAGCGGCGGUAAUACGGGGGAUGCAAGCGUUAUCCGGAUUGAUUGGGUUUAAAGGGGGCGUAGGCUGUGAGGUAAGUCAGCGGUAAAUUGUCCGGGCUCAACCCGGCCCGGCCGUUGAAACUGGGGGGCUUGAGUGGGCGAGAGGUAUGCGGAAUGCGUGGUGUAGCGGUGAAAUGCGUAGAGAUCACGCAGAACUCCGAUGGCGAAGGCAGCAUACCGGCGCCCGACUGACGCUGAGGCACGAAAGCGUGGGGAUCGAACAGGAUUAGAUACCCCUGUAGUC
rnacentral:rRNA from 1 species